UACGGAGGAGGCAAGCGUUAUCCGGAAUUAUUGGGCGUAAAGCGUCCGUAGGUGGCUCUUCAAGUCUGCUGUCAAAGAGUGGGGCUUAACCCUGCAAAGGCAGUGGAAACUGAAAGGCUAGAGAGCCGUAGGGGUAGAGGGAAUUCCCGGUGUAGCGGUGAAAUGCGUAGAUAUCAUGAGGAAUACCAGAGGCGAAGGCGGCUACCUGGACAAUUGCUGACGCUCAGGCACGAAAGCGUGGGGAGCAAAAGGG
rnacentral:rRNA from 1 species